GACGAACGCUGGCGGCGUGCUUAACACAUGCAAGUCGAACGGUAAGGCCCUUCGGGGUACACGAGUGGCGAACGGGUGAGUAACACGUGGGUGAUCUGCCCUGCACUUCGGGAUAAGCCUGGGAAACUGGGUCUAAUACCGGAUAGGACUCCUGGCUUCAUGGUUGGGGGUGGAAAGCCUUUGCGGUGUGGGAUGGGCCCGCGGCCUAUCAGCUUGUCGGUGGGGUAAUGGCCUACCAAGGCGACGACGGGUAGCCGGCCUGAGAGGGUGACCGGUCACACUGGGACUGAGAUACGGCCCAGACUCCUACGGGAGGCAGCAGUGGGGAAUAUUGCACAAUGGGCGCAAGCCUGAUGCAGCGACGCCGCGUGAGGGAUGACGGCCUUCGGGUUGUAAACCUCUUUCAGCUAUGACGAAGCGCAAGUGACGGUAGUAGCAGAAGAAGGACCGGCCAACUACGUGCCAGCCGCCGCGGUAA
rnacentral:rRNA from 1 species